rnacentral:lncRNA from 1 species
AGAAAGCGGACAUUGCUUAUAUAAGACACCUUUCUGCCAGGCUUCCUGAGGUUAGACAUCUAUUAUCUAUAUCUUUCAUUGAACUUAAUGAUUUUAUUUCUAGUUGACUACAAGAAUCAAGUUGCAGCAUGCAGACAUCUAUUAUCUACAAGAAUCAAGUUUCAGGUUGAGAAGCUCUGCACCAAAGGGAAGAUUAAAUCAAAUAGUAGAUAAAGAUCUAAUGGGAGAGUGACUUAUUUAAAUGGGAAGAAAUUGUCCACGUUGCACUCAUGUGUAGACAUUUUAGGUGACUUUGUUCAU